AACGAACGCUGGCGGCAUGCCUAACACAUGCAAGUCGAACGAGACCUUCGGGCCUAGUGGCGCACGGGGGCGUACCGCGUGGGAAGCUGCCCUUAGGUUCGGAAUACCUCCCUGUAAGGGGUGUUAAUACCGGAUAAUGUCUUCGGAGCAAAGAUUUAUUGCUUUGGGAUGGGGCUGGGUUGGUUUAGGUGGUUGGUAGGGGAAAAGCCUGCCAAGGGGACGAUCCAUAGCUGGUCGGGGAGGAUGAUUAACCACACUGGAACUGAGACACGGCCCAGACUCCUACGGAAGGCAGCAGUGGGUAAUAUUAGACAAGGGGCGAAAGCCUAAUCCAGCAGUGCCGCGGGAGUGAUGAAGGCCUUAGGGUUGUAAAGCUCUUUUACCCGGGAUGAUAGUGACAGUACCGGGAAAAUAAGCACCGGCUAACUCCGUG
rnacentral:rRNA from 1 species